rnacentral:rRNA from 1 species
AUGUCAGGCAACCUCGCAUUCCCUAGCCUCGCAGUGGCGAAGAUGAUGCGACGUUGGAACUAUCGAGAAGGCUCAGGUCUCGGUGCACAUGGGCAAGGGAUCAUCGUGCCUAUACAAUUCACCGUGCGGUCUCCAAAAGCUGGCAUCGGUCAUUGUGAGAAACCACAUGACAAUGGCCUAUACGUUCCGCCGUUGCCACAUGUGGAAGAGGAGUGACAUACGUGGAAGGGUCUUUCACGAGCCCUGCGUCUUGAAGUAGAGUGCUACGAAAAGAUCCUCUCAUUGCUGCAUGACAUGGCUCUUCAAGGGGACGAUAGCGUGGAGACGGCGGACGCAUUGGCGGCGAUCGUCAAGUCCAAGAAGGUGAUCCAGGAGAACCGUGCGCUAGGGUUGUGGAAGGCCACACUGCCAUCCUCCACCUUGCGGUACAUCAUUGAGAAGGUGAUCAUGCCGAGGAUGGCCAUGGAUGCGCGAGAGUGGAUGCCAUCGUGGGAUCCGGACUGUCACCACUGGCUUCACCCAUUGAUUCCUCUCAUCGACCACUUACCGGAGAGUCUCUAUGACAUUGUCGAAAGCAAGAUAAGCAAUGGCGGCUACGACAUCGUCUCGCCAUGGAAGGAAUACCUUGACCCAACGCAAUGGGAUACCUUCAGCCGACGCCACAUCUUACCGAAGCUGCAAUUCACACGGAACCUGAGGAUCACACCGCCGAAGCAAAUCGACUCCUCGUUCUGCACGCUGAUGCUAUGGGCACCUCUCGUGCAUGUUGAAGACAUGGUAUUUAUCCUAGAAGCCGAGUUGUUUUUCGACAAAUGGAAAAGUGCGCUGCGACAUUGGUUGCACGCCGCAAAGCCCUCGUUUGGGGAGGCCACUGCAUGGUGCACCGGCUGGAAAAAGCUCUUCACGCCAGAGCUACUCGCCGAUGAACGCGUGCUCGCACAUCUCGAAGUUGGUGUUGACAUUGUCAACAUACUUGUAAAUUAUACUUGGUAG